rnacentral:sRNA from 1 species
CGGUCCCGGGACCUGCGGUGUCUCCCAAUCCGGCGUCCCCGGCCGUUAGGCUGACUCGGUGCGCUCCGUCACGGAGGCCGCAUAGCCGACAGCCGUCGCACCCCAGGGAGCAAUUCCAUG